rnacentral:rRNA from 1 species
UACGUAGGUGGCAAGCGUUGUCCGGAUUUAUUGGGUUUAAAGGGUGCGUAGGCGGUCUUGUAGGUCAGUUGUGAAAUACGGCAGCUUAACUGUCGAGGUGCAAUUGAUACUGCAAGACUUGAGUACUGAUGAGGUAGGCGGAAUGGACGGUGUAGGGGUGAAAUGCGUAGAGAUGGUCCAGAACACCGAGAGCGAAGGCAGCUUACUAAGGAGUAACUGACGCUGAGGCGCGAAAGUGUGGGGAUCAAACAGG